CUUCUUCAAGGUUUUGGAGCUUGUCGGCACGGAGGAGAUGCUUGAUGAGGUCGUUGUACGCCGGACUCAAGGUAAAGAGUAGACCAAAGACCUUGUCUUGCUCACGCCUCUCAUUGAUGACCGCCGGAUCAAGAGUGUUGGGUCUCAACAUCUCAAGUUCUGCCCAAAGAGACCGAAACUUCCCAAAGUGUUGAGUAAACUCCAUAUCUCCUUGGGUCAGCUCAUUGAUAGCUUUCUUGAUCUCAAAAACUCGGCUUAGGUUGGAUUGGUUUCCAAAGACAUUUUGCAAAGUUUCCCAAAGAUCCUUGGGAGUCUCACAAUAGGAG
rnacentral:lncRNA from 1 species